ACGAACGCUGGCGGCGUGCUUAACACAUGCAAGUCGAACGGUGAAGCGCCUUCCUUUUUGGUGGGUGUGGAUGAGUGGCGAACGGGUGAGUAACACGUGAGUAACCUGCCCCCUUCUUCUGGAUAACCGCAUGAAAGUGUGGCUAAUACGGGAUAUUCUGGGUCUGUCGCAUGAUGGGUCUGGGAAAGAUAUUGUUUCGGUGGGGGAUGGGCUCGCGGCCUAUCAGCUUGUUGGUGGGGUGAUGGCCUACCAAGGCGGUGACGGGUAGCCGGCCUGAGAGGGUGGACGGUCACACUGGGACUGAGACACGGCCCAGACUCCUACGGGGGGCAGCAGUGGGGAAUAUUGCACAAUGGGCGCAAGCCUGAUGCAGCGACGCCGCGUGAGGGAUGGAGGCCUUCGGGUUGUGAACCUCUUUCGCCAGUGAAGCAGGCCUGCCUCGUUUGUGGGUGGGUUGACGGUAGCUGGAGAAGAAGCGCCGGCUAACUACGUG
rnacentral:rRNA from 1 species